rnacentral:rRNA from 1 species
ACGUAGGGUGCAGGCGUUAAUCGGAAUUACUGGGCGUAAAGCGUGCGCAGGCGGCUUCCUAAGUCAGAUGUGAAAUCCCCGGGCUUAACCUGGGAACUGCGUUUGAAACUGGGAGACUAGAGUGCGGCAGAGGGGGGUGGAAUUCCACGUGUAGCAGUGAAAUGCGUAGAUAUCGAGCGGAACACCAGUGGCGAAGGCGAGUCUCUGGACAAUUCCUGACGCUGAGGCACGAAAGCCAGGGGAGCAAACGGGA